AAAGUGCUAAUGACUUCAUAAUGAGAUGGAGGAGCCUCAAUCUUCAAUGGCCGGAGAAAAUUACCGAGCAAUCAGCCGUGCAAAUGUGCUACAACAACCUCAUACCAGAUAUUGCGACUUUUGUUGCCACUGCUGAACCCCAAUCAUUUGAUGCCUUGGUGUCAAAGGCGAGCAAUGUUGAAAGACAAAUUGCUCGUCAAAAGUCCGC
rnacentral:lncRNA from 1 species